GGAUCUGCUUUUUUUCAUUUGCCCAGCUGCCACUGUCUCAUCCACCUCUGCCAGCACCUUGGUACCACGUUGGGACUGUGCUCAUGCCACCACUACGGCUGCUGCUGCCUAGUCUUCCCCCACCACAUGUACUGCCAAGAUUGCAUCCUGUCAGACACAAAAGUGGCCAGAGUGCCAAGCCAAGAUGGAUGGACGGCUCCAAGGCAGCAGGACAGCCCACCAUCCCAGAAUGCCUGUCUACCUCUGGAAGACCCCCUUCCCUACCCCACUAAGAGCCAACCGAUGCCCACAAAGUCAGCUGGAAGCAGCCUUUCUGGGAGAAACGUCACCACCAUCUCAGGACAUCUGUCUACUUCAGAAGCCCCCUUCCCUAUCCCCGCCAAGAGCCAACCAACACCCACCAAGUCAACUGGAAGUGGUUUUUCUGGGUGAAACGACGCCCCUAUUCCUAUUCACUUGCUGUUUUAUAAUAAACAAAAAGCUUAGAAUGUUA